rnacentral:rRNA from 1 species
GACGAACGCUGGCGGCGUGCUUAACACAUGCGAGUCGAACGGAAAGGCCUGCUUUCCCUUGUGGAUUGCGGGUACUCGAGUGGCGAACGGGUGAGUAACACGUGAGUGAUCUGCCCCCAACUUGGGUAUAAGCCUGGGAAACUGGGUCUAAUUCCCGAUAGGACUGCAGGGUGGUGCCUGUGGUGGAAAACGAUUUUCUAGUGGUUGGGGAUGAGCUCGCGGCCUAUCAGCUUGUUGGUGGGGUAAUGGCCUACCAAGGCGGCGACGGGUAGCCGGCCUGAGAGGGUGGACGGCCACAUUGGGACUGAGAUACGGCCCAGACUCCUGCGGGAGGCAGCAGUGGGGAAUAUUGCACAAUGGGCGGAAGCCUGAUGCAGCGACGCCGCGUGGGGGAUGACGGCCUUCGGGUUGUAAACUCCUUUCGACCGCGAGGAAGCCACCUGGUUGGAAGGGUGGUGACGGUAGUGGUAGAAGAAGCACCGGCUAACUACGU